GAGGUGUAUCACUGCCCCAGCUCCUCUGUUUUCCAUCCUGCGGCUGACAACUUCAGUUCCUUCAAUUCUCACUAGAUCAGAAACAUGACUCCUGCUUUGCUGAGUGUUUCUUCCAAUGACCAACAGUGUUGGCAGGGCACAAAGUAGAAGGCUUCAGGAGUUCCUGUCAUGGCUCAGUGGAAACGAAUCUGAAUAGGAACUGUGAGGAUGCAGGUUCGAUCCCUGGCCUUGUUCAGUGGGUUAAGGAUCUGGCAUUGCCACGAGCUGUGGUGUAGGUCGAAGACGCGGCUUGGAUCUGGCAUUGCUGUGGCUGUGAUAUAGGCAGGCAGCUACAGUUCCAGUUCCCAGGCUAGGGGUCCAAUCAGAGCUGUGGCCGCCAGUCUACGCCAGAGCCACAGCAACGCAGGAUCUGACACCACAGCUCAUGGCAAUGCCGGAUCGUUAACCCACUGAGCAAGGGCAGGGACCGAACCCGCAACCUCAUGGUUCCUAGUCGGAUUCGUUAACCACUGCACCACGACGGGAACUCCAGAGACCCCAUUCUUAAAAGGCGCACACAGACUUUCACGUGGGUCCCAGGGCAAAGCAAAGUCUCCAUAGGAAUCUGGGUCAAACCUGACUGCAGUUCUUGGAGGACCUCCUGGGAAAACAGGGGUGACUGUGGCUUGUUGUGGGGGAACAACAUUGGAAGGAAAGCUCUUAGGAAUAUUCAUCAGCCUGCCUUUCUCCGGAGGUGGCCAUUUUGGGAAAAUCUGGCCCCACCCGUCAGCACGCUGAGAAGCUGCAGGGCAAACAACAACCCAGGGGGGUUCACAGCCCCGCCCAACAGCAAACAGGCUGCUUAAAGAACCCCCCCAGGCACACAGCCGCCUCUAAUCUCACCCAGAGACAACACCCCACCCACCAGAGGGAUAGGAAUCAUCUCCACCUACCAGUGGGGAGACAUCAGUCCCUCCCAUAUGGAAGCCUACAGCAAACCCCCAUACCAACUUCAGCCACAAGAGGGGCAGACACCAGAAGCAAAAGACGCUACAACUCUAUUAUCUGAAAAAAGGUCAGCUCACCAAAAAAAAUCUUGGAAUUCCUGUUGUGGCUCAGUGGAAAUGAAAAUGACUCACAUCCAUGAGAAUGGUUGUUCAAUCCCUGGCCUUUCUCAGUGGGUUAAGGAUCAAGCAUUGCCAUGAGCUGUGGUGUAGGUCACAGGCUACAGCUGUGGCUACAGCUCUGAUUUGACCCUUAGCUUGGGAACCUCCAUAUCCGCAGGUGCGGCCCUAAAAAAAACAAUAAAAUUAAAAAAAAUUUAAAAACCUUUAAGUGAAUCUUGGCCUUUUGCAGUGCUGACAUAUGUCACUGUUCUCGCUCCACAUUUGUUUUUCAUCCUUCAAUUCUUCUAUUUUCUGUAGUAAGUUAUGAAGCCUUUAUAGUUUGGAUAUAUAUUUAAUAGCUGUACAUAUCCUUUUCCUGAUGUGGAAGGAUGCAGGAUUUAUGGUUGUACAUAUCCUUUCUUAAUUUAAGAGAACACAGGAAGCAAUAGCCACACCCAGCCCAGCCCUGGGGAGCUGGGUGUCCUGUGGCCCUCUGCCACCUUGUGUCUACGUCUGGGUACUGCACUAUCCUCAGUGUUGUCUGAGAAGGAAGGAGUCCUACCCACUUCUGACGUGUAGCCACCACCAUCACCAUACAGCCAUCCCCAGACCAACCCCGUCCUGUGGGAUGGAAGAAUAAGUGCUCCAUGUUCCAGGAGGAAAAUGCAGUUCUGCCUGCCAACCUCACUUAGACUCCUGCUUUCUCCUUACUGCUGAGACUGUGCGCAAGUUACUCCACCUUGUUUAGACUUAGUCUCUUCUUUUUUUUUUUUUGUCUUGUUGCCUUUUCUAGGGCCGCUCCCACAGCAUAUGGAGGUUCCCAGGCUAGGGGUCUAAUUGGAGCUGUAGCUGCCAGCCUACGCCAGGGCCACAGCAACGCAGGAUCCAAGCUGCGUCUGCAAGCUACACUACAGCUCAUAGCAAGGCCGGAUCCCUAACCCACUGAGCAAGGCCAGGGAUUGAACCUGCAACCUGAGCCACGAUGGGAACUCCUAGACUUAGUUUCUUCUAAGAAAUCUAUGGACUGUAGAUAAUAAUAAACACCUGCCUCCUGACCUGUGACCACUGAACUUCUAGGAAACCAAACUGAUGUAAUGUUGUAAAGAUUAAAUGAAAAAUCAUAAGUGCCUACAGAUCAUUGACCAGUGAAUACUUCUGGAACAAAUGAAAGAACGAGUAAGUAGCUAAUUGAACAGACUUGGGAAGAAGCUUGGGCCGUCAGUCCAAAUUCCUUCUCAACGCUUAAGUCCCUUCUUCUGAGGAGCCCCAGGAAGAUGAGGCAUAAGGAUGGUGGUGGCUAAGGGUGAGGCUGUCUUUCCAACAGUUGCUCUUGAAGGAGCACCUUCCAAAUUUCUAAAGACAAGGAACUAAUUAGCCUGGCUGGGUUGGGAGCCUGCCCCUGGUCCAGGCAGCUGGCCAAGAAUCUGCUAUGUUAGUUAACAGAGACCAGGAAGGGGUGGGUUCUUGUGAGGUGGAUUGACAUUCUGGAGUGUUUACUAAACCACAUGAGAGUGUGAGGCCAGUAACAGUAGCAACAGAAUAUUGAUGGGGAAAUUCCUUCUGAGACCCAGAGUUAAGUCUUAGAAAUGAGCCACGGAGUUCCCGCUGUGGAACAACAGGAUCAGCAGCCUCUCUACAGCACAAGGAUGCAAGUUUAGUCCCUGGCCCAGCAUAGUGGGUUAAAGGAUCUGGUGUUGCUGCCACUGUGGCAUAAGUGGCGACUGUGGCUCAGAUCUGAUCCUUGGUUGGGAACUACAUAUGUUGCAGGGUGACUAAAAAUGAAAAAAAAAAAAAA
rnacentral:lncRNA from 9 species